rnacentral:rRNA from 1 species
UACGGAGGAUCCAAGCGUUAUCCGGAAUCAUUGGGUUUAAAGGGUCCGUAGGCGGUCUAAUAAGUCAGUGGUGAAAGCCCAUCGCUCAACGAUGGAACGGCCAUUGAUACUGCUAGACUUGAAUUAUUGGGAAGUAACUAGAAUAUGUAGUGUAGCGGUGAAAUGCUUAGAUAUUACAUGGAAUACCAAUUGCGAAGGCAGGUUACUAUCAAUAUAUUGACGCUGAUGGACGAAAGCGUGGGGAGCGAACAGG